AUUUCCUUAAAGGAGAGGCCUCCAGUGCACCUCGUCAGCUGCACUCAGCUCUUAAAUGCAGCUAUUCACAGAGGGCCCAGGCUCUCCCCUGCCCUGUGACACUACGUGGGACACACACCUCCACAGGGAAUUUGAAGAAUCUCCAGGAGGGCCAGAGAGUAGACUUGGAUGCCACCCAGCCAGCAAUAGAGAAGUUGGGACCACCCAGCCAGGGACAAGGCCACACCUCAGCCAUCACCACCCACAAGCAACGCAGCAUGUAUGAGCUGGGACAGGACACCAGAAACUACCUCAUGAUUGCUCCGGAAGAAGCAGCUGCAGCCUUUGGACGAACAGGUCCUAAAGAGCUAUGGAAACAGCAUCGUGGAAACAGCACGAUACAGUUAUUGAAUGACUGGUCUGGGCCAAGCAUUAUUCUCGGCGCUGGGGAUGCAGCAGGGGGCCUGGAUCAUACUCAAGGUCACUAGAUACUUGUUACAUGAGUGAAUGAAGUCAUUCAGUACUCAUUGGCUCCACUGGGCUCUGACUUGCUGGGCAUGACAAGCCCACCAGGGAGCCCUGGAUAUCCCUCCUCUUUCCAAGCAGCUGGGGAAGCUGGUUGCCCUGGAAACCUGUUUUAGGUGGCAGCAUCUUCCUCCAGGAGGUCGAGGUGUCUCCUGGACCUUAGAGACUCCAGGACACAGGACAGAGCUCUGAACUGUGGAGCCGGGAAACCUGGUUCCAGUCUCAGCCCAGAUUUACCAGCCGUAGACUUGGCCAAGUCACUCACAAAACCCAAAGGGUGAGGCAGAGCUGGCCCUGCCUGCAUGGCAGGGAGAUUUUGAGAAGCAUGAAGAGAGUCAGGAAGUGCCUGGGGAUCGAAUCCACCCAGCAGUGCAAGGCAUUGCUCUCCCAAUUCUCCAUUGGGAAAAAAAAAUCCAGACAAAGACAGUACAGAGAAUAUGGUAGCCAAUACUGCAGCAGUCACCACCCGGAAAAACAGACACUAAUAUAAUAACUUGUGAUUUUUGCUUCAUAUCUCUGUGGCAUAAAACCAUGACACAUAAAGUUUAUGUCCCCCUUUAACCAUUCCUCAAUGCUAUUCCCCUCCUCUCUCCCCCUCCUCAACGGCAACCACUGAUAUGUUCGCUCUAUUCUGUGCUUUUCAUAUUUUAAAUAUAUUGUUUAUGGGAAUGAUCAUAUAUAAGAAAUAUAUUAUACUGUUUGUUUUAAAAGUUUGCAUAAAUAAUAUCAAAGUAAAUUAUUUAAGUGUCCCCAGCAGUCCCUGUCCCCGUCCACCUUUCCCUCAGUUCUCUUCCAUCACAGUAAAGAAAACUGCCCAAACCUGGUCACCGCCCCUGGACUUUCGAAGUGGCUUCCUACUUGGGGUCCUGCUUCCAACAUUGGCCCUGUGAGUGACAAGGAUCUCAUUCCUUUUGUGCUCAAAGCUCUGGCCUCUCUCUCCCUCCUUGGCCUUGCCCAGCCCAGCCCCACCCCUGUCCUCAGAACCUCACACCUGUCGUUCCCCACCUGGGGUGCCCUUCCCGCUGGCUGGCCCCUCACCUCUCUCAGAUUUCUGCUCUAAUGACAGUAACUGGAGAGGCCUUGCCUGAAGUCCCCUCCUCUUUCUCCUUACCUUGCUUUUUGGUUAUGCAUCCUCCUCCUAAUUGCUUUAUUUAUUUAUGUGUUUAAUCACCAUCCUCUUACUUUUCUAAGGCUCGUCCUGAUUUUUUUCACAUCCUGGUAUCUGAGCCGGCAGUGAUUCUAUACCUGGCAGCAGCCUGUGCGGCAGAGCUGUGUGUAAAGGGGUCCAUGCAGAGCCCUGGGAGAAAGAAAAAUGAAGGGGAAAAGGUUGACCUGAGCUUUUUCACCUGGGGCUGGAAAGUGGACCAGAGCCUAUCAUUCCAACCUGCAGGUGCCUAAGGCCCAACAGAAAGUUCACCAGGAAAGACCAAGAGAAUUGGGGUGACCCUCCCACAGUAUCAGAGGGAAGGGGAGUGGGGAGGAGUACAGCAGUGCAGACCAGCCCCACAGGUGCUUAGCCAGGCCUUUGGUUCUGCCAGGGAAAGGAGGGUGCCUUCCACAGCAUGAAAACUACACCACGUCCCAAUGUGUCCGGGACCUGCCGCCAGCCGCCUGCACAGUAGUCAGGUGGAUGCCACCGGGAUACAGCCCACACUGACUCCUGACCCCAGGGGGUACAGCCCACGCUGACUCCUGACCCCAGGGGGUACAGCCCACGCUGACUCCUGACCCCAGGGGGUACAGCCCACAUUGACUCCUGACCCCGGGGGUUACAGCCCACACUGACUCCGGACCCCGGCGUGGGAGGGGCUGGCCCGAGAUGAAAUCUCGAAGGUGGGUCAGGCUAGGUCCUGGAGUCAGGGGAAGCGUGGGGUUCAGGCCAGGCCUGGGUUCUCCCUGAAGUGAGGCUGACUCUGAGCCUUUCUUGAAACCCCAAAUGUCACAGCAGUGCCCCGAAGGUAGGUGAGGCUCUGUUGCAGGGAAUGCUGAGGAAAAAGGGAACAUCAGGGAUUGGUCUGGCCUGAAGCCUGCACUCCCCUAAAUUAUACCCUGGUAUGAUUUGGGCUUGCCCUGGAGUUACCUCAACUAACCUGGGGUCCUUGGGGGAAACAGAGAUGGACAGGGUUGAUGUAUAUUUCGGGUUGAUUUGGACUCUAAGGAUUAUCCCAGCUCAGACCUCGCUCUCAAGGAAUAGGAGCCUGGCAUCUGUCUAUCACCCCCUUGGCCCUGGGUAUAGUCUGGAUGAGCAGAGGCACGCGUGUGGCCCCAAGAGUCCCACCCUCUGGCUCUCUCCUCCCAAGACAUUCUGGAGCCAUGACAUGUCUCCCAGGAAGGGAGAAUUAUUUUUGUCUGUGGCAUAAAUAAAGCCAGGAAUGAGUUCCAAUAAUCACAAGCACAUGCCAGCAUGUGGAGGCUACUCUGACAGCAGCAGAAGGUUCCAGCACUGCCUGCCCUGCUGGUCCUGGCUGCAGGGAGGUGACCGGGAUGGUCAGGGGUCGGGAGCAGGAGGGAGCCUCCAGGAUUUUAUUUAAAAUGAUCAGGUUUUUCAAACAAAUGGAAAAAUAAAAAAAUCUUGAAAACAAAUCUUUUAAAAAUUUACCCACUUCACUCCAGAUCUUAAGAAAUAAAAAUAAAACAUGACUAUUCCUCUAGAAUCCUGACCCAUACCAUACAACUCUCUUCCCAGAGGUCAUUGCCAACAUCGAUUUCUAUUUAUUUUUCUCAUGCUUGCUUUAAUAUUUCUACUAUAUAUGUAUGCAUCUAUAAAUAAACUCUAUGUGACAUUG
rnacentral:lncRNA from 1 species